GACGAACGCUGGCGGCGUGCCUAAUACAUGCAAGUCGAACGAACCGCGACUAGGUGCUUGCACUUGGUCAAGGUGAGUGGCGAACGGGUGAGUAACACGUGGGUAACCUACCUCAUAGUGGGGGAUAACAGUCGGAAACGACUGCUAAUACCGCAUAGGACAUAGGAUCACAUGAUCCAGUGAGGAAAGGUGGCGCAAGCUAUCGCUAAGAGAUGGACCCGCGGUGCAUUAGCUAGUUGGUAGGGUAAAGGCCUACCAAGGCGAUGAUGCAUAGCCGACCUGAGAGGGUGAUCGGCCACAUUGGGACUGAGACACGGCCCAAACUCCUACGGGAGGCAGCAGUAGGGAAUCUUCCGCAAUGGACGCAAGUCUGACGGAGCAACGCCGCGUGAGUGAAAAAGGUCUUCGGAUCGUAAAGCUCUGUUGUUAGAGAAGAACAGCGCAUAGAGUAACUGUUAUGCGUGUGACGGUAGCUAACCAGAAAGCCACGGCUAACUACGUG
rnacentral:rRNA from 1 species